CAAAUGAAGAGUUUGAUCCUGGCUCAGGAUGAACGCUGGCGGCGUGCCUAAUACAUGCAAGUCGAACGCUGGAAAUCUAGCUUGCUAGAUUGAAGGAGUGGCGAACGGGUGAGUAAUACAUAAGCAACCUACCCACGAAGACUGGGAUAAUCUCUGGAAACGGGGACUAAUACCGGAUAGGUAAUCGGAAGGCAUCUUCUGAUUAUUAAAGGUUAAAAACACUGGUGGAUGGGCUUAUGGCGCAUUAGUUAGUUGGUGAGGUAACGGCCCACCAAGACGAUGAUGCGUAGCCGGCCUGAGAGGGUGAACGGCCACAUUGGGACUGAGACACGGCCCAGACUCCUACGGGAGGCAGCAGUGGGGAAUCUUCCGCAAUGG
rnacentral:rRNA from 1 species